GGGUGGCGAGGUGGCGGAACGGGUGGAGGAAUGUCGAUCGGAAUCUACUCGUUUCGUGGGGGAGUAACGUAGGGAAACGUUAACGCUAAUACCGCAUACGACCUACGGGUGAAAGCCGGGACCUUCGGGCCUGGCGCGAAUGAAUGAGCCGAUGCCCGAUUAGCUAGUUGCGGGUAAGAGCCACCAAGGCGACGAUCGGUAGCUGGUCUGAGAGGAUGAUCAGCCACACUGGAACUGAGACACGGUCCAGACUCCUACGGGAGGCAGCAGUGGGGAAUAUUGGACAAUGGGCGCAAGCCUGAUCCAGCCAUACCGCGUGGGUGAAGAAGGCCUUCGGGUUGUAAAGCCCUUUUGUUGGGAAAGAAAAGCAGCUGGUUAAUACCCGGUUGUUCUGACGGUACCCAAAGAAUAAGCACCGGCUAACUUCGUG
rnacentral:rRNA from 1 species